rnacentral:lncRNA from 1 species
AACCCCCAAACGUCUCCAAUCCACCAAACGUGUCCAUAUCAAUCUUUUUUUUCUUUAAUUGGAACUAUCAUACGUGUUCUUUUUACAAAUACGUACGUUAUUUGGAUAUUGCUUUUUCAUUAUGGAAAAUCAUUUUACUAUUUCAUUAAAAAAUAGAAAUAAAUUACUUUAGGUCUUUUUUAAACCGGCAGUAUAACAUGGGAAAAAGUGGGGGCGUCCGUUCGGCUAUGUAGGACGUAAUUGUAAGCAGCCAGUUAAAUUGUAGAUAUUAAAUCAGAUGCCCUUUUGUAGGGAGUAUGUCACUUUCUCUGCGCAUUAAAACCUUUGUAGCAUUUCAGUCUUUCAUGGUGCCGUAAGUUGUAUUUCUGAAGGCAACAUUUAAAAAAAAAAUUUACCGCACAUUUUAUUUAAAACGGCAUUGUAUAACAUAACGGAGAUUGAAGUAGUUUCUUACUGAAGUCAUAAAAAAAAUGGUCUCUACUCGCUCUUAAAUGUUUCUAAAAAAAAUCCCAACUAUUGUUUAAUCCAAAUUCCUGAAUAACCGUAAAAAUUUAGGCCCAAUCCAAUAUUUCCCGGUAUGAUAAUACAUUUGUAGAACCUAUCUACAGUAUAUGUGUAUUGUUAACAUGAUGUUGUUCAAAUAAUACAUGAAAUAUUUGGCACUGGACGUUAUGUCUCUUGAUCGUGUGACUUAAGUGAUGCUGGAAACCUAAAAUUUAUCAAACCCGUUCAUGAUUUGAAGAGCUUUUACAGUAUUAGAACUGUUGACACAAGAGUGAAGCCAAUUCUGCUGAAAGCCCGCCUUGCAAUAUUCGGAUUACUAUAAAAGGUAUCAUUGGAGUUUAUUAGUACAAAAUAAUUUAUAUAGUAAACGAUUAAUUCAACUCUGGUAUUAUUGGUAUGUUCUCUCUAAAUGAGUAUGAAAUACUUGCAACUGGACAAUAAGCAAUUUCAGUCUAAAGUUAAUUCAUAGUUACAGAUUAACGUUAUCUAUUUCAUUUAGGAAAUACAUGUAUUAGCUCUAAAAGAUGUGAGGCGUUCUGGCGUGUAAAAGUGGACACGUUUCGGUGAAUAACAAUUAUCGGACACGUUUGGGGAAUAUUGCAUAUUAUGGACACGUUUGGGGAGAAAAGACACGUUUGGGGG